rnacentral:tRNA from 1 species
UCCCUGAUGGUCCAGUGGUUAGGACUUGGCACUUUCACUGCCAGGGCCUGGGUUCAAUCCCUUCAGGAGG